UACGGAGGGUGCGAGCGUUGUCCGGAAUCACUGGGCGUAAAGGGCGCGUAGGCGGCCUGGCAAGUCGGUGGUGAAAGCCCGUGGCUCAACUUCGGGCCUGCAUCCGAAACUGCCCGACUAGAGGUAGGUAGGGGAGAUCGGAAUUCCUGGUGUAGCGGUGAAAUGCGCAGAUAUCAGGAGGAACACCGGUGGCGAAGGCGGAUCUCUGGGCCUUACCUGACGCUCAGGUGCGAAAGCUAGGGGAGCGAACAGG
rnacentral:rRNA from 1 species